UGGGACGGAUCACAUUGUCCCUGGAUUAUCCUGCUAUUUGCCCUGGUCGCAUGGUUGUUCGGUAAAUAGCAUUCACCUCCCAUAUUAACAGUAUUCUGUUCGACAACCGAACAAAUCACCAAACACCAGACCACCCAUAUGUGGAGUGUACCGCUUGUUAACCCCAGUAACCUCCGUUCAACCCUCCACAAACUGAAAUAACACUAAAAUUUAAGCAGUCGGUUGGGUGGCCGCUGUUCGUUUGUGCAAACACGUG